rnacentral:lncRNA from 1 species
AAAAAGGUGCAUUGCGGCAGCUAGGCCAACGUUAGGGGCCCCCCAGGGAAAAAGCGAGGCCCCGGCAGGGCAAAAGCAAACCGACGCCCCAGAGGAUAAACACGGCGAGCUUGCCGCCAGAGCGAACGAAAGGGCAGCAAAGAAAGGAGAACGAAAAAAGAGGUGUUGUGCGUGCAAUGGGGCGCGCUGAAGUGACGUGGCGAGUAACACAGGGCCCCG